rnacentral:rRNA from 1 species
GACGAACGCUGGCGGCGUGCUUAACACAUGCAAGUCGAACGGAAAGGCCCUGCUUUUGUGGGGUGCUCGAGUGGCGAACGGGUGAGUAACACGUGAGUAACCUGCCCUUGACUUUGGGAUAACUUCAGGAAACUGGGGCUAAUACCGGAUAGGAGCUCCUGCUGCAUGGUGGGGGUUGGAAAGUUUCGGCGGUUGGGGAUGGACGCGCGGCUUAUCAGCUUGUUGGUGGGGUAGUGGCUUACCAAGGCUUUGACGGGUAGCCGGCCUGAGAGGGUGACCGGCCACAUUGGGACUGAGAUACGGCCCAGACUCCUACGGGAGGCAGCAGUGGGGAAUAUUGCACAAUGGGCGGAAGCCUGAUGCAGCAACGCCGCGUGCGGGAUGACGGCCUUCGGGUUGUAAACCGCUUUCGCCUGUGCCGAAGCGUGAGUGACGGUAAUGGGUAAAGAAGCACCGGCUAACUACGUG